rnacentral:rRNA from 1 species
UACAGAGGGUGCGAGCGUUGUCCGGAAUCACUGGGCGUAAAGGGCGCGUAGGCGGCGCGGUAAGCGUGCGGUGAAAGCCCGGGGCUCAACCCCAGGUCGGCCGUGCGGACUGCCGGGCUGGAGCACUGUAGAGGCAGGUGGAAUUCCGGGUGUAGCGGUGGAAUGCGUAGAGAUCCGGAAGAACACCGGUGGCGAAGGCGGCCCGCUGGGCAGUAGCUGACGCUGAAGCGCGACAGCGUGGGGAGCAAACAGG